CAUACAUGCAAGUCGAACGAGAAUUCACCUUCGGGUGGAAGAAAGUGGCGGACGGGUGAGGUAAUGUGUAGAGAAUCUGCCCUAGGAGUGGGGGACAACAGCUGGAAACGGCUGCUAAUACCGCAUAUGCGCGUAGCUGAGAUGCUAUUCGUAGAAAACUCCGGUGCUCUGGGAUGAGUCUGCAUCUGAUUAGCUAGUUGGGGGUGUAAUGGACCACCAAGGCGACGAUCAGUAGCUGGUUUGAGAGGAUGAUCAGCCACAAUGGGACUGAGACACGGCCCAUACUCCUACGGGAGGCAGCAGUAGGGAAUUUUGCGCAAUGGGGGGAACCCUGACGCAGCAACGCCGCGUGAUUGAAUAAGCCCUUCGGGGUGUAAAGAUCUGUCAGUGGGGACGAAACUUGACGGUACCCACAGAGGAAGCAUCGGCUAACUCCGUGCCAGCCGCCGC
rnacentral:rRNA from 1 species